CAACAAAUAGAAUGAAUUCAGUUUUCCAAUUUUGUAUUUUAAGCUGAUUUUUAGUAUGUGAGGAUACUAUGAUGAGCCAUAUUUCAACAUUACGUUUGGUUCUGCUUCGCUGUUUUCUGUCGAAAUUACAGGCUUGAGACUUUGUAAAUUUCGUAAAAACAACAAUUAAAGGGACUUCUUUUGACAAAAGCCAUCAAGGACAUUUCAAGUGAUGCGAAUAAAUUUUCAAUGACUGUCAUAAAAUGCUAUGUGUUUAAAAUAGACCAUACAGUAACACCAAUCUGAUACUUGUAAUAAACUAAUCACAGAUACCAGAAUUAAAAGAUUUUAUUUGCACCCAAACGCACGUUUCGUCUACACAAGACUCAUCAGUAAUGCUUCAAUACAAAAAAGUUGAAAACCAAAUAAGUAAGCC
rnacentral:lncRNA from 1 species